UACGGAGGAUCCGAGCGUUAUCCGGAUUUAUUGGGUUUAAAGGGAGCGUAGGUGGAUUGUUAAGUCAGCGGUCAAAUCGUGGGGCUCAACCCCAUCCAGCCGUUGAAACUGGGGAUCUAGAGUGUGCGAGAGGUAUGCGGAAUGCGUGGUGUAGCGGUGAAAUGCAUAGAUAUCGCGCAGAACCCCGAUUGCGAAGGCAGCAUACCGGUGCACAACUGACGCUGAAGCACGAAAGCGUGGGUAUCGAACAGG
rnacentral:rRNA from 1 species